GACUAAAUAAGUCUGGUGGCCUAGUGGUUAGAACUUCCGCCUCGGAUGUGAGAGGUCGUGGGUUCGAUCCUCGAUCGAGUCA